GCUGUUUUGAAUGUGUUCUAUGUCACAGGAUGAGGAAAUUCAUGAGAAAUUCUGUCCUAAUUUUUGGAAAAAAAACCAACGACCAUUUCUACUGCCCCAUAUAAUUCUAGGAACCUUAAUUUGUUCACUUUCACCUUCUUAAAUAACUAGAAGAGGAUGAACAAAAUUCUGGAAAAUCAGUAGGUGGACCAGUACCAUACGACUUUGAACGAGAUGAUCAGCACUCUUUUGAGAAACAAGGGAACAACCAUCAAAGAGGUUACCAAAAACGUGGGCCUCCAGGUCCCCUUGGAGACAAUGUAUCAGGAGGUUUAACCCCAGGUAGCCUACCAGUUCAUCAGCAAGGAGGUUGUCCAGGUGGCCAACAAGGAGGCCGUCCAGGUGGCCAGCAAUUAGGUAGUCAAGGUGGCCGUCAAGGAGGACAUCGAGGUGGCCGGCAAGGACACCAUCCAGGUGACCAGCAGGGAAGUGGUCCAAUCCCCGCACCCCCAAGUGCCUGAAAAGGAAGAUGGGCUUUUGGGAGGCGCCCUUCAAGUCCUCAUAGGGACCAG
rnacentral:lncRNA from 1 species